rnacentral:tRNA from 1 species
AUAUAUAUAGUAUAAAUAUUACAUUUAAUUUCCAAUUAAAUAAUUUUAACUAAAUAAAUAUAUAUA